rnacentral:rRNA from 1 species
AUUGAACGCUGGCGGCAUGCCUUACACAUGCAAGUCGAGCGGCAGCGCGGGGGCAACCCUGGCGGCGAGCGGCGGACGGGUGAGUAAUACAUUAGAACGUGUCCUUUCGUGGGGGAUAACCAGUCGAAAGACUGGCUAAUACCGCAUGAGAUCUCACGAUGAAAGCGAGGGACCGCAAGGCCUCGCGCGAUUGGAGCGGCCGAUGUCGGAUUAGCAGUUGGCGGGGUAAAAGCCCACCAAGGCUACGAUCCGUAGCUGGUUUGAGAGAACGACCAGCCACACUGGGACUGAGACACGGCCCAGACUCCUACGGGAGGCAGCAGUGGGGAAUUUUGGACAAUGGGGGCAACCCUGAUCCAGCCAUGCCGC